GUGCUUGCUUCGACAGCACAUAUAUCAAAAUUGGAACAAUACAGAGAAGAUUAACAUGGCCCCUGCUUGAGGAUGACACGAAAAUUUGUGAAGCAUUCCAUAUUUUC
rnacentral:snRNA from 1 species